UUUGCCAUGCCUGGCAAUGAACAAUAAGAAACAUUGAACAGCUUCUGAAGUUAACAUCUCUUUGCACAGCUGAUCUCUUGUUUCCUUAGAGUCUGAUUUACAGCUGCUUAUGCCUGUGGGUGAGGGGGCAAAAGAAGCAAAGAUCACCAGCUCUUUGGAGUAUUCUAUGCCCAAAAUGGGCAUACCUACCAAUUUGCACGUUUUGGGCUUUUAUGAAUCAUUCUCCUUUCUACUUUCUCUAAUCAAUAUUUUAUUUCACAGCAACCACAAAUGCGUGAUAGAAGCAAGACAGCACAACUUUUGCACCACUGAAUGCAACAAAGGAAAUUGAGGAAUAUCACUGACCAUCGCAAAGCAAAGCCUUCCAUGACACGAGUGGCAUUACAGAGGAAAUAUUCUCUGCACUCAUCUUCUGUUUUGUUGAGUGGAAAGUUUGGUGGACCCGUGGGUUUGAUCCAGCCCAUUGAGAGAAUCUUCAACACACAUUGAGCAGUGUGAUAACAGGUUGCUUUGGUCCUGCUGGGGUUGUCAGGGCUCAGAGUAUGGUGCAGUGCCAGCACCAGGAGCUGUGUGUCUGCAGCUCCUUCUGAGCUCCUCCGCUCUGGGUCUGACACAACAGAGGCUUUUUUUCCUGCCUCUGUCAGCAGUUCUUGCAGAUGAUUGUCCAUAAACAAGCACUUCAUUGUUAUAAUUUAUUAUGAAUUGCAGAAGCCGAGUGUGGCUGCUCGAGCUGAAUUACAGCACGGAGUGCAGCAGUUACCAGAAAUAAACACUGAGACUCUUG